rnacentral:rRNA from 1 species
GAUGAACGCUGGCGGCGUGCCUAAUACAUGCAAGUCGAGCGAACGGACGAGACGCUUGCUUCUCUGAUGUUAGCGGCGGACGGGUGAGUAACACGUGGAUAACCUACCUAUAAGACUGGGAUAACUUCGGGAAACCGGAUCUAAUACCGGAUAAUAUUUUGAACCGCAUGGUUCAUAAGUGAAAGACGGUCUUGCUGUCACUUAUAGAUGGAUCCGCGCUGCAUUAGCUAGUUGGUACGGUAACGGCUUACCAAGGCGACGAUGCAUAGCCGACCUGAGAGGGUGAUCGGCCACACUGGAACUGAGACACGGUCCAGACUCCUACGGGAGGCAGCAGUAGGGAAUCUUCCGCAAUGGGCGAAAGCCUGACGGAGCGACGCCGCGUGAGUGAUGAAGGUCUUCGGAUCGUAAAGCUCUGUUAUGAGGGAAGAACAUAUGUGUAAGUAACUGUGGACAUCGUGACGGUACCUAAUCAGAAAGCCACGGCUAACUACGUG